CCUACGGUGUGCAGCAGUGGGGAAUAUUGCACAAUGGGGGGAACCCUGAUGCAGCAAAGCCGCGUGGGUGAAGAAGUACUUAGGUAUGUAAAGCCCUGUCAGCAGGGAAGAAAAUGACGGUACCUGACCAAGAAGCCCCGGCUAACUACGUGCCAGCAGCCGCGGUAAUACGUAGGGGGCAAGCGUUAUCCGGAUUUCCUGGGUGUAAAGGGGGCGUAGACGGCAAGGCAAGGCUGGAGUGAAAGCCCGUGGCUCAACCACGGGACUGCUUUGGAAAGUGUGUUGCUGGAGUGCAGGAGGGGUAAGCGGAAUUUCUAGUGUAGCGGUGAAAUGCGUAGAUAUUAGGAGGAACACCGGUGGCGAAGGCGGCUUACUGGACUGUAACUGACGUUGAGGCUCGAAGGCGUGGGGAGCAAACAGGAUUAGAUACCCGAGUAGUC
rnacentral:rRNA from 1 species